AUAACGCACAAUGACGUGUCGACGUGUCGAAACAAAGGAAGUCUGAUAUUAUCCGUCGAUUCUAAAGUCUUUGUUCAAUCUCAACGGUCCGUUUCAAUAUAUAUUGCCAUCAACAACGGGAGCAAUUGAAAGAUCUUCCGAGUAUAUCCCAACCAAGAAGAGCGCCUGGUUUGCUCUCUACGCCUCUCGGUCACCUGCAUGCCUGCGUUUUCUCAUAAUUCCCUUGCAGAUCUCUUCCUCGAGGCUUCCCUGCCUUGCAUCAUGUUCUCGAAUUCGGCUAGGUAGCCUACGGAGCCACACGCUGAUGGUCGCUUCAAGACUCUGAACCGAUUGGCUCUAUUAAAAUUCUGAUAUCACUUUUUUUCUUGUGACGAUUCUUCGUCUUUUGAAUUAUUGGUAUCGCUUCGUAAUUUAUAAAGAUACCUUCUUGGUUUUUUUUUUUUCUUUUGGUUUUUUUUCUAGAUCUCUAAAAUGAUCGCUUCGAUUUACGGGAUCCGCUUCAGUUUCAAUUCUAGGGUUUGUUCAUCGAUUGAUUUUCUUUGAUUGAAAUUCCUCGCCUAUGGAAUGUUUCGUUGCGGUGAUUUUAUUUUAUUCGUUUUCUUGGAGGCAGGCGUGGCGUUCGUCCUGAGCCAAUUUUUCAGGUUCGAUGCCUGAGUGUUAAUGAUUUCACGGGAAGGCUUGCUGGUCUCCGCAAAGGCGCUGGAUCUGUGGGGGCGGGAUUGCAGAGGUGAUGUUAUGAAGAUCAAUUGUGGCAGAUCGUUCCAUGUAACUUGUUGAUGUAAAUGGAUGUAUAGGAUAAUAUCAGAACGAAAGGGCUAGAGUUUGAGUUUCGCUGGCCCUUUCGUCCUGAUUCAUCUUUGUCAUCCGACCUUUGCCAUGACAGGUGCGCUUGCAUGGCAGGUCACAAAGAACCAUAAUAAAAAAGUUGUACGUUUUUUGGUUUGAGGGGGAGAUCGCACGGGAAUUUUGCCCGGGGUCUCCCCACCGGUGUGUGCCGUUUCCCUGUGCUGCUUUUUCUGCGAUCGUUUAUAUUUUCGUUCUAGACGCCCAUGUUUGCUUACCAGAUGAAAGGGGUAGCUUUGAUACAUCAGCUAACAUUACGCCUCAUGCACUCGCAAUUCACAUGGAGUUUGAGUUAUGGAUCACUGCCAAACGGACUUGAAGUUCGAUUCUUAUGGAAGUUUUGCUGCUUUGGUGUUGCAGCAGAAACCCUAGCAAUCAAGAAGUUAUGCAGGCAUCUGAGGUGAUGAUAACGAGUAUGAUCCAAAAACUAAAAUCUGAACCUUUUCAUUUUGUAGUUCAUUUUCAAUCUUCUGUGACUACCAAUUUCAUUUUCAGAGUCUUAUGAUAAAUUCAUUUUCAGCGUUCAUCAUAAAUCCAGUUUAGUAGAAGCAUGUAUUUUUAUUUUUAACUUCAUUGUACUACUUCAGGUCUGGUCAGUUGUGUCCCUUCAACUUUUGGCUUUAUUUAUUAUGCCUUCAGAUGAUUGCCUUGUUUUUUUUCCCGCACUGGCUUUUAAAAUCACUAGGUUUGGCCCCUACUCUGGUUCUUAGUAAUUUAGCGUGUUAAAGUUAGGAUGUUUUGUUGAAUUGGUUAACCAAGCAAGUAUGGUGCAAGUCUGAAAACUUGCCAGAUGUCUAGCCAUACUCUCUGAUAAUAUAAAAACAAUAGCUGAUUUCACCUCAUGACAACUCUAGUCAAUAUUAUCAGACUGCCAGUCAUUUGACUCAUUGGUAAAAGACCUUAAAUUCCCUUGAGACUCUUUUCUUUUCGAGUCUUCAUAACCCUUAUCUUUUGUUAAUAAAAUGAUGCGGUGCCACUAGUCAAAGUUCAAAAGGGACCAAAGUAAAUAAAGAAAGGAGAAGGAAGUUGGGUCCUGGUAUAAUCUUCGACAGAGUUAUCUUGGAGCUUGGUCCUCUCCUCCUGCUCCUGCUAGAGGGUGAGGUUUUGUCUUUGCGAAAGCAAAGGUGGUCUCUCCAUACAGACUGUUGUUGACAGAGAGUGUGGAUUGCAAUGGAGACUGAACUGGAGAGUCUGUGGAGAAGCUCUUUCUCAUUAUCAGAUCAAGAGAAAACUGAGGUGGAGGUCCCUCAGACUGAAGUUGACAGAGGAGUGGGCAAAGGAAAGUUAUGCACCAUGGUACUGGUCGUUUCUGAGAGAAUGAUCAAUAAAGAAGCCUUCCGCAUGACUAUGUCAAAGGUCUGGAAUUCGGUGGGAUGGAUACAAUUUAAAGAGAUGGGCCUAAACAAGUUCCUGGUCGAAUUCCAUAUGUAUUUAGCACAAACAAAUUCUGGAUGAUAUUGUCUAAUAUUGAUAUUCCAUGCUGGCUUUGUUGUGAAAGCAUAAUCUGAGAUAUGUUUCCAAA